rnacentral:rRNA from 1 species
GUGCCAGCAGCCGCGGUAAUACGGAGGGUGCAAGCGUUAUUCGGAAUUACUGGGCGUAAAGGGCGCGUAGGCGGCUUUUUAAGUCAGGCGUGAAAUACCGGGGCUAAACUCCGGAAGUGCGUUUGAAACUAGAAAGCUUGAGUACGGGAGAGGGAAGUGGAAUUCCUGGUGUAGAGGUGAAAUUCGUAGAUAUCAGGAGGAACACCGGUGGCGAAAGCGACUUCCUGGACCGAUACUGACGCUGAGGCGCGAAAGCGUGGGUAGCAAACAGGAUUAGAGACCCUGGUAGUCCACGCCGUAAACGUUGAACACUAGGUGUAGCGGGUAUUGACUCCUGCUGUGCCGUAGCUAACGCAUUAAGUGUUCCGCCUGGGGACUACGGUCGCAAGGCUAAA